GACGAACGCUGGCGGCGUGCCUAAUACAUGCCAGUCGAGCGAAGUUUUUCUGGUGCUUGCACUAGAAAAACUUAGCGGCGAACGGGUGAGUAACACGUAAAGAACCUGCCUCAUAGACUGGGACAACUAUUGGAAACGAUAGCUAAUACCGGAUAACAGUAUUUCUCGCAUGAGAGAUAUUUAAAAGUUGGUUAUGCUAACACUAUGAGAUGGCUUUGCGGUGCAUUAGCUAGUUGGUGGGGUAAAGGCCCACCAAGGCGACGAUGCAUAGCCGACCUGAGAGGGUGAUCGGCCCCACUGGGACUGAGACACGGCCCAGACUCCUACGGGAGGCAGCAGUAGGGAAUCUUCCGCAAUGGGCGAAAGCCUGACGGAGCAACGCCGCGUGAGUGAAGAAGGAUUUCGGUUCGUAAAGCUCUGUUGUUAGGGAAGAAUGGAUAUGUAGUAACUAUACAUGUAAGAGACGGUACCUAACCAGAAAGCCACGGCUAACUACGUG
rnacentral:rRNA from 1 species